rnacentral:rRNA from 1 species
AUGGCAAAGAGGUCCAGGAAGAAGGAACAGCCGGCGGUCGAGGCAGCGAGCCUCCCCGAGGACCUCCUCGUCGAGGUCCUCGCGCGGGUGCCCUACAGAUCGCUCUGCCGCUUCAGGUGCGUGUCCAAAGCAUGGCGCGCCCUCUGCUCGGACCCCGGCCUCCGCAAGAGGUCGCCGCAGGCCCUGUCCGGCUUCUUCUGCUACACCCGCGACGACGACAGCCACGAGCUGCGCUUCCUCAACAUCUCCGGGCGAGGCCGGCCCCUCGUCGACCCCGGUCUCCCCUUCCUGCGCGCCGUGUGGGAUGGAGGCGUCCGGGCCGUGGACUGCUGCGGCGGCCUCCUCCUCUGCCAGUGCUGGACGGAAUCAUCCAUACACGACGCCAUCUACGACCCCUACGCCGACCCCGACAUCGCCUCCGAUUCCGAGGCCGAGGCCGACGCUGUCGAAGAUGUGGCAAAGUAUGUUGUGUGCAACCCGGCUACCGAGGAGUGGACCGUGUUGCCUGCCAUCGAGGAGCUGCACCCGAGGAACGUCAUCCUUCUGGGCUUCGACCCGGCUGUUCCCUCCCGCUUCACCGUGUUUGUGCUCUUGCAGGAUGUGGAGGAUGAUCACGACGCCGGAGUGCAGAUCCUCUCAUCAGAGACCCGAACAUGGACGUUUCGGCAGAGCGAUUGGGGCGAGGGCAGCGUUACUGUGGAUUAUUACAAUGGUUCACCUUCCACCUUCUUCGGCGGCACCCUGCAUUUGACUACCCGAGAUAAUUCAGUGAUCACAGUGGACACAGUGGGGAAGGCAUGGCACAAGAUUCGAAUGCCGCUCAGUGUUGAGGACACGUCGGAUAUUGGCUUCAUCGGGCACUCUCAGGAGCGCUUGUAUGCUUUGCAUAUGAAUUAUUCUGAUGAUGAUUGUCAGCUCACGGUCUGGGUGCUUGAGGAUUAUGCUACUGGGCAGUGGACACUGAAGCAUACAGCUGACAUGUCGGAGACAGUAGGCGAUGAUGUGUGUACUUUUGUCGCUGUUGAUUCAGAAGGCAAUCUGAUUUUCCAAAUUAAUGGACGGGAUGAACAGCUUGUGUCAUAUGAUAUGGAAAAGAGGAAAUUUCAUGUUAUCUUCAGUUUUGAGAGUUACUUCACUCUCCGGUGUGAUCCUUAUAUUCCCAUUUACAAGGAAUGGUUACCCAAAGCAGCUCCAUGA